AGCGAGGUGGCUAAACCCGAUCCCAUCCCGAACUCGGCCGUUAAACGCCUCCGCGCCAAUGGUACUUCGUCUCAAGACGCGGGAGAGUAGGUCUCUGCC
rnacentral:rRNA from 1 species